CGCAUGUUUUGAAUACAGUUAAAUUGUAGUUAAAAUACUUUAAAUAUUGUCUUUAAUUACACAUGUAAUGGUUAAUUGAUUUAUUCAAAGUAUAAGUGACCUAAAGAUCCUUAUCAUGAAAAAAAUCCUGGGUUAUAUCAUCGAUUAACGUUUUAAUUGAGCGAUUAUAAAUGUUUAUCAAAGUAGCUCAUUUUUUCAGUAUUUCUUGAUCUGAUAUAUUUUUUAGUGAAACAUUUUCAGUGUAAAUUAUUCAUUUGUAAUGAUUUUUAAAAAGCCCCAGCCAUGACCCUACGAAUUUAGAUAAGAGCAAAAACGAAGAAAGUAAUUAGUGUUUAUGGAAAAGGAUUCAGUUAUGUUCAAGUAAACAUUAACUUACAUGACCCCAACCGUGAUGUCCAUGGUGUCCAUGAUGUCCAUGAUGUCCGUGAUGGCCAUGAUGACCCCAUCCCCAUCCACCAUUCCAAGCCUAUUUGUUAAACAAGAAAAAUUGAUAUCAUUGUUUAUACUGAAAUUGGUUGAAAUUAUUGAACUUACAUGAGAUAAAGCAGCAUGAGCGUGACUAUGACCACCCCAUCCUCCCCAUCCAGAGUGUCCAGUGUGGCCUCCCCAACCACCCCAGUCACCCCAGCUCUUGUGACCGUGCUCGUGACCUUGAGAGUGCUUAUGGCCAUGAUGAUGUCCAUGUUUAUGUCCCUUAAAUACAAAUAAAUGUAACAGUUAAACAAUGAAA